rnacentral:rRNA from 1 species
UACGUAGGUGGCAAGCGUUGUCCGGAUUUACUGGGCGUAAAGAGCGCGCAGGCGGUCGUUCAAGUCGCGUGUGAAAGCCCCCGGCUCAACUGGGGAGGGUCACGCGAUACUGAUCGACUCGAAGGCAGGAGAGGGUAGUGGAAUUCCCGGUGUAGUGGUGAAAUGCGUAGAUAUUGGGAGGAACACCGGUGGCGAAGGCGGCCCUCUGGACCGGUACUGACGCUGAUGCGCGAAAGCGUGGGGAGCAAACAGG